AAAAACUUUUUCAACUAUAAUUCUUUUCAUAAAUUUUACCAAAAGGAUAAUCCAUAUUCAAUUUGUGGUUCUGCAUUUGCAGAAUAUUACUUGACAAAUUAACAUAUAUAUAUUUACGUGUUAAUCGAAAGUAUUACAUAUUUCUAGGACACCCUGUACAUGUAUUAAUAAUACAUACAACCAAAAAAUUAUCAGUCUCGUCUCUUCUCAAUACUCAGAAACUAAAAAAUCGAAACUAAAAAAUAGACAGAAAUCAUCAAACGUGGGACACGUACACAAGAACCGAUCUUCUCCACAACACAGAUGAAAACAGAUCAUCCUAUACAUAUCCCAAUAAAAAUAAGGAUAUGCAAAAUCUCUUCUUUCCGCAAGAAAAUCGCAUGUGAUCCGAUAAACGUGAUCGAAAAUAUCCUUGGAUCAUCGGCCGUUCUAAAUCGUUAUUAAAAUUAAAAGAAAAGAAACGAAAUCGAAUUCCCUUCCAGGAGAAAAUUGCAUUAGUAACUACAA